rnacentral:rRNA from 1 species
AGAGUUUGAUCAUGGCUCAGAUUGAACGCUGGCGGCAUGCUUUACACAUGCAAGUCGAACGGUAACGCGGGGGCAACCCUGGCGACGAGUGGCGAACGGGUGAGUAAUACAUCGGAACAUGUCCUGGAGUGGGGGAUAGCUCGGCGAAAGCCGGAUUAAUACCGCAUACGCUCUGAGGAGGAAAGCGGGGGACCCGGUAACGGGCCUCGCGCUGCGGGAGUGGCCGAUGUCGGAUUAGCUAGUUGGUGAGGUAAAGGCUCACCAAGGCGACGAUCCGUAGCUGGUCUGAGAGGAUGAUCAGCCACACUGGGACUGAGACACGGCCCAGACUCCUACGGGAGGCAGCAGUGGGGAAUUUUGGACAAUGGGGGCAACCCUGAUCCAGCCAUGCCGCGUGAGUGAAGAAGGCCUUCGGGUUGUAAAGCUCUUUCGGACGGAACGAAAUGGUUACAGUGAAUAACUGUGAUUGAUGACGGUACCGUAAGAAGAAGCACCGGCUAACUACGUGCCAGCAGCCGCGGUAAUACGUAGGGUGCGAGCGUUAAUCGGAAUUACUGGGCGUAAAGCGUGCGCAGGCGGUUCGCCAAGUCAGGUGUGAAAUCCCCGGGCUUAACCUGGGAAUUGCGCUUGAAACUAGCGGGCUUGAGUGUGGCAGAGGGGGGUGGAAUUCCACGUGUAGCAGUGAAAUGCGUAGAGAUGUGGAGGAACACCGAUGGCGAAGGCAGCCCCCUGGGUCAACACUGACGCUCAUGCACGAAAGCGUGGGGAGCAAACAGGAUUAGAUACCCUAGUAGUCC